ACGGAACGUGAUGGUAGUUGUUUUAUGCGGUUUAUGGUAAUAAUAAUAUAAAGAAUUCGUAUAUAAAUUACUUUGAAUAAAAUAAAGAAACGGGAGGCAGACAUUUAAGACAUAAAACCGAGUUUGAAUUUUAUUUUUAUUGUGACCCAUUGACCUAGUAAUUCGAAUGUUUUGGUUAUAUUAUUGUCGAACGACCGAUUCGGCUUUUCCUUGUCACAGAAAGAGAUAAA